rnacentral:rRNA from 1 species
GCAUAUCAAUAAGCGGAGGAAAAGAAACCAACAGGGAUUGCCCCAGUAACGGCGAGUGAAGCGGCAACAGCUCAAAUUUGAAAUCUGGCCCCAGGCCCGAGUUGUAAUUUGCAGAGGAUGCUUUUGGCGCGGUGCCUUCCGAGUUCCCUGGAACGGGACGCCAUAGAGGGUGAGAGCCCCGUACGGUUGGACACCAAGCCUUUGUAAAGCUCCUUCGACGAGUCGAGUAGUUUGGGAAUGCUGCUCUAAAUGGGAGGUAUAUUUCUUCUAAAGCUAAAUAUAGGCCAGAGACCGAUAGCGCACAAGUAGAGUGAUCGAAAGAUGAAAAGCACUUUGAAAAGAGGGUUAAACAGCACGUGAAAUUGUUGAAAGGGAAGCGCUUGUGACCAGACUUGCGUCCGGUGAAUCACCCAGCUCUCGCGGCUGGGGCACUUUGCCGGCACAGGCCAGCAUCAGCUCGCUGUCGGGGACAAAAGCUUCGGGAACGUAGCUCUCUUCGGGGAGUGUUAUAGCCCGUUGCAUAAUACCCUUCGGUGGGCUGAGGUACGCGCUCCGCAAGGAUGCUGGCGUAAUGGUCAUCAGCGACCCGUCUUGAAACACGGACCAAGGAGUCAACCUUAUGUGCGAGUGUUUGGGUGUUAAACCCCUACGCGUAAUGAAAGUGAACGCAGGUGAGAGCUUCGGCGCAUCAUCGACCGAUCCUGAUGUUCUCGGACGGAUUUGAGUAAGAGCAUAUAGGGUUGGACCCGAAAGAAGGUGAACUAUGCGUGUAUAGGGUGAAGCCAGAGGAAACUCUGGUGGAGGCUCGCAGCGGUUCUGACGUGCAAAUCGAUCGUCAAAUAUGCGCAUGGGGGCGAAAGACUAAUCGAACCUUCUAGUAGCUGGUUUCCGC